UCCUUCUUUUUGUUUCUUCCUGUCAAACUUGGCACUCUCCACUGAUAAAAGCCUGUUAGCAUUUCGGCUGAGUGUCUGCAGUUUGUGCACCUGGUUCUUAAGAGAACUAUGUCUUUCAUGAGAAAAAAUGUGCCUUUUUUGCAUAGAAGAAGGAAAAUAGGUUAUUCCCUAUUACUGCCUUCAGAAUUAUUGGCAUAAAAAUAGUAGUGUAACCUUUGUACUUCGACUUCAGUUUCAGCUUUUCCAUGUAAUCUUCUUUUCAACACAUCGGCCUCUCUCUGCUGAGCUUCUUUCCUUUCCUGUUUUGCUCCUCCCCUUCUGCUUCCUCCUCCCUGUUUACCCACAGCUCACUCUGUUGUACAGUUUAACAUACUCUCUAGCUCUUCAAGGUAUUCUGUCUAUGAAUCUUUCUAUAGCUCUUGUGUUUAUUUGGGAAUAUGAGUUCUACAGGUGGUGGAGGUGCUAGCCAGCAACAUAUUUUUCAAAUUACCAUUAUUAAAAGUAAAUUUCUCUCUUUAACAGAGAAGACAUAAACAGCUGCUGCUCUGGAUCAGCUGCUGCAGAGUGCAGGCCAGCAGUGAUUCACUGACCCAGGACUGAGCUGUGGACCCAAGAGUGCUUCUCAGACCCAGGUCCCUCUGAUCUGAUCACUGAUCUGAUACUCUGAGUGCUCACUGUAACCAGAAGAGGGUGUGCUCCACAGUGGUCUUCAGAUUUGGCAAAUUUUUGUGGUCUGGACACCUAAUCCAGAGGGCUACUGGAUAAAUGGAAAUAAAUCCAUCAGGAAAGACACUCUUCCUAGCCCUUAAUGUUUAAAAGACUAAGUCCUUUUUAAUAAAUUGUUGUUUAUUUUGUC